CUGUUAUCUAAAGUUGGGUUACUGCAUAUUUACCUUGCUAGCAAUCUAAUUUCAUGGAUACUGCCGCGAAUGCUGGUCUACCCGUUCGGAGAUUCAAGUUUAUAUAAGCAGUUCCGGAUGCAACUAGUGACCAUGAAAUUCGGAGGGAAUCUGUAGGAGAAGAAGGGAAUCCAGAUUCAAGCUGUGAUAGAGCAAUGGACUGAGUUUCAAUAUGUUCAUAUUCUGAUAGUGCAAUAUUGGGAUUUUUGU